rnacentral:rRNA from 1 species
UACGUAGGGUGCAAGCGUUGUCCGGAAUUAUUGGGCGUAAAGGGCUCGUAGGCGGUCUGUCGCGUCGGGAGUGAAAACUCGGGGCUUAACCCCGAGCCUGCUUCCGAUACGGGCAGACUAGAGGUAUGCAGGGGAGAAUGGAAUUCCUGGUGUAGCGGUGAAGUGCGCAGAUAUCAGGAGGAACACCGGUGGCGAAGGCGGUUCUCUGGGCAUUACCUGACGCUGAGGAGCGAAAGUGUGGGGAGCGAACAGG